rnacentral:lncRNA from 1 species
UAGCACUGCCACUACCAUUCAACAUAGACUACUACCAGCAUUCCAGAAUGGUACCCUAGUGCACUACCCCGCCACCCCACCCAUUGUGAGCAUUUUAACAAGCUACCCGCCUUACCAAACAUACAACCUUCCAUGACAGUGGUGGAGGAGGUGAGUGGAAGAAAGUCUUGCACGCCCCUGCUUAAAGAUCAGGGAAUCCUGUAAACUAGUAGCGUAUGAAAUGGAACAAAAGGAGAAAAAACCGCCAAGCACAAGUGUUGCAUUCACUGACCAUGACAAACUGCACU